rnacentral:tRNA from 1 species
GUUUUAAUAGUUUAAAAAAAACGCUGGUCUUGUAAACCAGAAAUGGAAAGUGCCCUUAAAACA